GUGAGGAAUAUUGCGCAAUGGAGGCAACUCUGACGCAGCCAUGCCGCGUGCAGGAAGAAGGCGCUACGCGUUGUAAACUGCUUUUAACCGGGAAGAAACCCCAGGACGUGUCCUGGGUUGACGGUACCGGAGGAAUAAGCACCGGCUAACUUCGUGCCAGCAGCCGCGGUAAUACGAAGGGUGCAAGCGUUAUCCGGAUUCAUUGGGUUUAAAGGGUGCGUAGGCGGAGCGUUAAGUCAGUGGUGACAUCCUGCAGCUUAACUGUAGACUUGCCAUUGAUACUGGCGCUCUUGAGUGCGCUUGAAGUGGGCGGAAUGUGCCGUGUAGCGGUGAAAUGCUUAGAUAUGGCACAGAACACCAAUUGCGAAGGCAGCUCACUAAGGCGAUACUGACGCUGAGGCACGAAAGCGUGGGGAUCGAACAGGAUUAGAUACCCGUGUAGUCC
rnacentral:rRNA from 1 species